UGGGUGGAAGAGUUUUAGAUGACUACAGGAGUUCUUUGAAACCAGAAAUGGUGGAAGCCUUGGUGUGCGGUGCUAGUUAUAUCAAAGGUUCUCACAAGGACUUCAAUGUGGUGGAGAGAGAUGAAGAUGAGGAGGACGAUGUUGAGAAUAUCAAGUUGCCCAAGAUUGUUGAUGUGGGGGAUAAAAACAAUUGGUAA